rnacentral:sRNA from 1 species
CUUGUCUCCCCAGGCACGUUCCCAGGCUCGCAGCCCCAGGCACCUGCCAGCCCCGUUCUGCCGGCCAGGCCACCUCCGCCACCCCCGCCCCGCCGACCCAGCACAUCUAGGCAGGGCCCUGUGGGGAGCGGGCGCCGGGAGUGCUACUUUGACACAGCGGCCCCAGAUGCAUGUGACAACAUCCUGGCUCGGAAUGUGACGUGGCAGGAGUGCUGCUGUACUGUGGGUGAGGGCUGGGGCAGCAGCUGCCGCAUCCAGCAGUGCCCGGGCACUGAGACAGACGUGGACGAAUGUCAGCUCUUCCGAGACCAGGUGUGCAAGAAUGGCGUGUGCGUGAACACGGCCCCGGGCUACUCGUGCUAUUGCAGCAACGGCUACUACUACCACACACAGCGGCUGGAGUGCAUCGAUAAUGACGAG